GAUGAACGCUGGCGGCGUGCCUAAUACAUGCAAGUCGAGCGAACGGACGAGAAGCUUGCUUCUCUGAUGUUAGCGGCGGACGGGUGAGUAACACGUGGAUAACCUACCUAUAAGACUGGGAUAACUUCGGGAAACCGGAGCUAAUACCGGAUAAUAUUUUGAACCGCAUGGUUCAAAAGUGAAAGACGGUUUUGCUGUCACUUAUAGAUGGAUCCGCUCUGCAUUAGCUAGUUGGUAAGGUAACGGCUUACCAAGGCAACGAUGCAUAGCCGACCUGAGAGGGUGAUCGGCCACACUGGAACUGAGACACGGUCCAGACUCCUACGGGAGGCAGCAGUAGGGAAUCUUCCGCAAUGGGCGAAAGCCUGACGGAGCAACGCCGCGUGAGUGAUGAAGGUCUUCGGAUCGUAAAACUCUGUUAUUAGGGAAGAACAUAUGUGUAAGUAACUGUGCACGUCUUGACGUUACCUAAUCAGAAAGCCACGGCUAACUACGUG
rnacentral:rRNA from 1 species